rnacentral:rRNA from 1 species
UACGGGGGGGGCAAGCGUUGUUCGGAAUUACUGGGCGUAAAGGGCUCGUAGGCGGCCAACUAAGUCAGAUGUGAAAUCCCCAGGCUCAACCUGGGAACUGCAUCUGAUACUGGAUGGCUUGAAUUCGGGAGAGGGAUGCAGAAUUCCAGGUGUAGCGGUGAAAUGCGUAGAUAUCUGGAGGAACACCGGUGGCGAAGGCGGCAUCCUGGACCGGCAUCGACGCUGAGGCGCGAAAGCCAGGGGAGCAAACGGG